rnacentral:lncRNA from 1 species
CCCCUUUCUCAUUUGAUUUACUUUUUUUUUUCCCUAAAAACAUGGGUUGCAUGUGUACACCCACAUCCACUUGCUAUACACUAAAUGGACACUUUGAUGGCCAUAAAGAAUAGCAUGGAUUAUGUGCUAAAUUUAUUUGUCCUUACGUUAUGCAUGCACAUAAUUGGAUCAUAAGGGUUACUUGUUUUGCCCUUGACUAAAUUCAGAUGCCCUGCACAAUCAGGUCACAUGUACAGAUUAAAGAGAUACUGAAUCUCCAAUUUUUUUCUUCUCAUCUUACUGACACUACACAAAUAUCUUAUCAACUAAACUUUUCCAGAUACGAGCAUGUUUAUCAUAACAUCCAGCCACAUGUGACAAGGACUCUGCUCCAUG